rnacentral:rRNA from 1 species
AUUGAACGCUGGCGGCAGGCCUAACACAUGCAAGUCGAGCGAGCGGCGGACGGGUGAGUAAUGUCUGGGGAACUGCCUGCUAGAGGGGGAUAACUACUGGAAACGGUGGCUAAUACCGCAUACUAUCGGAUGAACCCAUAUGGGAUUAGCUAGUAGGUGGGGUAAAGGCUCACCUAGGCGACGAUCCCUAGCUGGUCUGAGAGGAUGACCGGCCACACUGGGACUGAGACACGGCCCAGACUCCUACGGGAGGCAGCAGUGGGGAAUAUGGCACAAUGGGCGCAAGCCUGAUGCAGCCAUGCCGCGUGUAUGAAGAAGGCCUUAGGGUUGUAAAGUACUUUCAGCGGGGAGGCGUUACCCGCAGAAGAAGCACCGGCUAACUCCGUGCCAGCAGCCGCGGUAAUUC